rnacentral:lncRNA from 10 species
UUGGCCAACACAUGCUUCACCCUUUCAGGCAGCUGACAUAAUUGAGCUAAGACAGGAUGUCCAGGAUGUCAUCUUUCAAGGUAUUAAUGUAAUACUAGGUUUCUCUCAAUUUGUAAUCCAUUUGUUCAUUCUUUUACCCUCAGCUACUAUUCUUCCUUCUCUUCAUUUAUACCCAAACUUUUCCACCUCUGGAAGAGACAUUAGGUUCAGCUACUGUGCUUGUCUACACUGCAGGCAACAAUACUAGUCUAGCAGCAAGUUCCUUCCCUUCAGUUCAUUCCCAUUGACAUAGGAUAAGGUGAAACAGGUGUAAAAGUUGAGGUAAUACAUGGAGAAAAGGAAAAAAGUAGGAUCAUUAUACCAGCAUAUUCCCCCCUUGGCAAGAAUCGCAUAGUCAUACCUGCAUACUCUCCAAUCCCUCUUCCUCAGAUGCACCAGAAAAAUGGAGAAUUUUAGAUCCUUUAGUUCCACUAGUGUUGAGUGUGAGCACACAGUCAUGAAGGUGUGUAAUCCAAUCUUUAUGCUUUUAAAUAGUGGUUUUAAAUCAAUGUUUUAAUUGCCUGUUCUACUUCCCUAUCAAACCAUUACUCUAAGGAGAAUAUCUCUCUGCCUAUUGCUGGACAUUACAGGCUGUACAGUGUGUUCCUUAGUCUGAAGAAAUGAUAUUGGCCAAUAAAUCCAUGCAAUAUCUUAUUUUCUGGUUUAUAUCUAUAUCUCCUUUUUCCCAGAUAUGAACCACAAUUCUUAAGGUUACUGGUAAAUACAAUUAGCGUAUUACAUAAUUGUUUAUUUCCUUUAACCCACACAACAUGCAAUAGUUUCAGAAUAACAGUACUAAAUGCAACCAACAAUAUGAUUACUGAAAAUAGUUUUGAUCUUUUUGUUUUUCAUCUCUUUUGUGCUGCAAUGAUAUCACUGUGUUUUAAACUCACUUGGAAUAGUUAGCCUCUAUGUUUAUGCCUCCAACUAAGUAUACAAUUAAGUUAAUUUGUUAUGUUUUAUUCUCAAUUUGUAGAUGUCUUUUAAAAAAUUAUCUUUUGUUUUACAAUAAGGUAGGAAAUUCACAUGGCUCCAAAGUCAAACAUACCAAGCAGUUUGUAGUAAGCACAAUCACAUCUCCCUAACGAUGUUUACCUCCUAAACCAGAUGUGUGGUGCAAGAAAAGGGUCCAAUUUCAUUCUUUUGCACGUGGAUAUUUGGUUAUCCCAACACCACUUAUUGAAGAGACUCUCUUUUCUUCAUUUUGUCUUCUUGGUGCUCUUGUCAAAAAUUUGUUGAAUGUAUAUAGAUGGUUAAUUUUGGGCUCUCUAUUCGGUUCCAUUGGUCUGUUUCACAGUAUCAUACUGUUUUGAUUAAUGUAGCUUUACAUGUUUUGAAGUCAGAAAGUGUAAGGCCUCCAGCUUUGUUGUUUCUCAAGAUUGCUUUGUCUAUUUGGGUUCAGCUAUUGUUUGUCUAAAUUUUAUGGUUCCAUAUACAUUUUAGGAUUCUUUUUCUACUUCUGCCAAAAAAUGUGUUCCAGCCAUUAAGAUGUGCCUCCUUUCUUUUCACCUUCUGCCAUGAUUGUAAGUUUCCUGAGGCCUCCCCAGCCAUGCUUUAUGUACAGCCUGUGGAACUGUGAGUCAGUUAAACCCCUUUUCUUUAUAAAUUACCCAGUCUCAGGCAUUUUUUAUAGCAAUGUGAGAAUGGACUAAUGCAGAAAAUUGGUACCAAGAGUGGGGUAUUGCUAUAAAGGUACCUGAAAAUGUGGAAGCAGUUUCAGAACUGGGUAAAGGGCAGAGACUGGAACAGUUUGGAUGGCUUAGAAGAAGACAGGAAGAUGAGGGAAAGUUUGAAACUUUCUAGAGACUUGUUAAAUUGUUGUGACCAAAAUGCUGUUGGUGAUAUGGUUAACGAGGUCCAGGCUGAGGAGGUCUCAGAUGGAGAUGAGGAACUUAUUGGGAACUGGAGCAAAGGUCAAUUGUUAAUCAUUAGCAAAGAGGUU